UACGGGGGGGGCAAGCGUUGUUCGGAAUUACUGGGCGUAAAGGGCUCGUAGGUGGCCAACUAAGUCAUACGUGAAAUCCCUCGGCUUAACCGGGGAACUGCGUCUGAUACUGGAUGGCUUGAGUUUGGGAGAGGGACGCGGAAUUCCAGGUGUAGCGGUGAAAUGCGUAGAUAUCUGGAGGAACACCGGUGGCGAAGGCGGGUCUCUGGACAGUUCCUGACGCUGAGGCACGAAGGCCAGGGGAGCAAACGGG
rnacentral:rRNA from 1 species